GAUGAACGCUGGCGGCGUGCCUAAUACAUGCAAGUCGAGCGAAUGGAUUGAGAGCUUGCUCUUAUGAAGUUAGCGGCGGACGGGUGAGUAACACGUGAGUAACCUGCCCAUAAGACUGGGAUAACUCCGGGAAACCGGGGCUACUACCGGAUAACAUUUUGAACAGCAUGGUUCGAAAUCGAAAGGCGGCUUCGGCUGUAACUUAUGGAUGGACCAGCGUCGCAUUAGCUAGGUGGCGACGUAACGGCUCACCAAGGCAACGAUGCGUAGCCGAACUAAGAGGGUGAUCGGCCACACUGGGACUGAGACACGGCCCAGACUCCUACGGGAGGCAGCAGUAGGGAAUCUUCCGCAAUGGACGAAAGUCUGACGGAGCAACGCCGCGUGAGUGAUGAAGGCUUUCGGGUCGUAGAACUCUGUUGUUAGGGAAGAACAAGUGCUAGUUGAAUAAGCUGGCACCUUGACGGUACCUAACCAGAAAGCCACGGCUAACUACGUGCCAGCCGCCGCCGUAA
rnacentral:rRNA from 1 species